rnacentral:rRNA from 1 species
CCUACGGGAGGCAGCAGUGAGGAAUAUUGGUCAAUGGACGAGAGUCUGAACCAGCCAAGUAGCGUGAAGGAUGACUGCCCUAUGGGUUGUAAACUUCUUUUAUAUGGGAAUAAAGUGAGGCACGUGUGCCUUUUUGUAUGUACUUUAUGAAUAAGGAUCGGCUAACUCCGUGACAGCAGCCGCGGUAAUACGGAGGAUGCGAGCGUUAUCCGGAUUUAUUGGGUUUAAAGGGAGCGUAGAUGGGUUGUUAAGUCAGUUGUGAAAGUUUUCGGCUCAACCGUAAAAGUGCAAUUGAUACUGGCAGUCUUGAGUACAGUUGAGGUAGGCGGAAUUCGUGGUGUAGCGGUGAAAUGCUUAGAUAUCACGAAGAACUCCGAUUGCGAAGGCAGCUUACUAAACUGCCACUGACAUUGAUGCUCGAAAGUGUGGGUAUCAAACAGGAUUAGAUACCCUAGUAGUC